AUGUUUAUAUCCGCUUUUAGGGUUCAUAGAACUUUGCAUUUCAUAAUCAUAGCAAUUAACAGGCUGAAAGAGAUCAUAUAUUCAAUGAUAAUGCAUUUACACAAAACUACAUGUGCACACCUGUCCUGUGCGUUUGUCUUUUGUAUUUUAUUUUUGUCUGAUUUAAGUGAUAAUAUUAUGUUUUUUGGGCGUUGUCUUGUCAGGGAAGGGCAGAAAGAUGUGCACGUGUGUGUGUGUGUGUGUGUGAAGUGUGUCUUUAAUAUGACAUCUCCAACAGCUGUGUAUAAUCUCCCAAUACACUCACUCACACUCUUUUCUCAUUCCAUCUUCUGUACAAUGGAACAAAAGAGCAGGAACUGCCACUCUCUCCCCACCGUCCAAUCAAAGCCGUCAUUAUUUCUCGGCGGAACACUCCCUCAGGAAGUGCCAUCUCCAAAACACGCCAGCUGUGCUGCUGUGCUUAUUAUGGGCCAUUAUGAGAGACAGAGACACAGUAACGCCACAACAUACCGUAUCUGGGCUAUUGUGCGUAUAUGCCACAUUAAGGUCCCCUGCUGCGCGCGAGCGCUGCUCUAUGGUUCCAUCAAGAGCAACGCAGCCGACUCUGAGACAACAUCUUGCUCCGCUCAUGACUUCAGCUCAAAUUACGGCACAAAGCCUGGGCCAGAGACUACAGCUGAGUUAAUGGCAACCCUUACAUCUUUAACCAACAACUCCUGAAUCUGGGCAGGAGCUGCUGGAAUAUGACGUAUGCAGUCGAUUACCAUUCUCUCACACGCUGGUGCCAAACUCCAUAAAAGUCUGAAAUAGAUGACUGUUCUCAUGUGUUGUAUUGUGAAUAGUCCUUAAAGACUUUGAUGUUUAGUUGUGUUUAACUGUUGCAGUCACGUCUCUACAAUAUCUACCAUCUUGUGGUGACAUUUCUGCAAAAUUAUGUAACAUUGUUUUUUGCACGUUUAGCGACACUUUAAGUGAGUGGCGCUUAAAGUCUGUUCAGUUUUAUCUGAAAUAGAUAAAAGUGUCACAUCAGUUCAUUAAUGAAAUGUGCAGUUAAUGGUGCUAAAAGGUUAAUGCUCUAUUGUAGUUCAUAAGAACAUUUUGUUAGUGUUAACCAAAGCAAAUACAAAAUAAAGCCUCAUUGGCUAAAGCAACAAUGCUUAGCCUGCUUCUACAAGAGCUCUUUUAUCAGGUGAGCUACCAAUUCAAAUUUACUACAUCAGAAAAGCCAUACAUAUGAAGUUGGUCAUGUGAUUCAAAUGUCAAAAUGUAUUAGUUUGCAAAUCAUGAAUUAGAAGUGUGUGUAGUGAUGCUGCCAUUCAGGAUUGGUCGCUUGUUUGUUGUCUUGGAAAACAAGGAAACACAAAAUCUGAUCAUAUCCUUCAUACAGCAGUCGCUAUUUACAUCUCAUACAGUAUGUAAACACUUGUGUUACCAAGGCAACGACUGACAAGCUCUGUUACCAGACCCACAGUGGAAAAUGAAACGACACUGCCUGGGCUGCAUUGGCACAGAAUACAACGGUUAAACAAUGAGAAUGGUUUGGCCUGACUGUGGAAAAUUUACAUUUACAUAGAAAACCUUUUAAGGCAUAAUAUGCUUCCAACAUUAAAGUUUUUGCUUUAUUAUGCUGCCUAAAAUACCUAGUUAUGACCAUAAUGCAAUUCCAAAUGCAUUGCCUCAAACUCAAAAUAACAUCAAACUGAAAAAUAAAAUAAUACUAAAGAUGAUCUUAUUAUUAUGGGGAAGUAUCAACCUCCACAGCAAUUCCAUGGAGUAAGCAUAACAACCAACUUUAAAGGGAAUUUCACCCAAAAAUAAAUUAUUUACUCACCCUCAUGUCGUUUCAAACCCUUAAGUCCUUCAUUCAUCUUUGGAACACAAAUUAAGAUAUUUUUGAUGAAAUCCGAGAGCUUUCUGACCCUCCAUAAACAGCAAUGCUACUGACACGUUCAAGGCAUAGAAAGGCAGUAAGGACAUCAUUACAAUAGUCCAUGUGACAUCAGUUGUUCAACCCUAAUGUUAUGAAGCUAUGAGAAUACUUUUUGUAUGCAAUAAAUAAAUAAAAAAAUAAAAUCAAAUAAAAAUAACUUCUUCAUAAACACCUCUGAAAAUUUAGACAGAAGUUGACUUGCAACUUUUUUCCCAGCCUUACUUACAACCAGAAUACAAAGAACUUAAAAGAUGGAUGUUCAUACGUCAGAAUGCUAGCUCCUGCGUCAGCAUGCAUUGUGGUACUCUCGUGAACAGGCGCCAAAGACUGACACAGAAGAGAAGAAAUUGAUGAAUAAAGUCAUAUUUUUGUUUUCUCUGCACAAGAAGUUUCUCGUAGCAUCAUAAUAUUAAG
ensembl:lncRNA